CCGGGACCCGGGGCGGACGUGGCCUAGUGGCGGACGGGUGAGUAACGCGUGGGCAAUCUGCCCCGUACCGGGGGAUAACACCUGGAAACAGGUGCUAACACCGCAUGACAGGCGGGGGCGCAUGCCCCGGCCUUGAAAACUCCGGUGGUACGGGAUGAGCCCGCGUCCGAUUAGCCAGUUGGCGGGGUAACGGCCCACCAAAGCGACGAUCGGUAGCCGGCCUGAGAGGGUGGACGGCCACAUUGGGACUGAGACACGGCCCAAACUCCUACGGAAGGCAGCAG
rnacentral:rRNA from 1 species